CAGUCGCCGCGGUAAUACGUAGGGUGCAAGCGUUAAUCGGAAUUACUGGGCGUAAGGCGUGCGCAGGCGGUUCUAUAAGACAGAUGUGAAAUCCCCGGGCUCAACCUGGGAACUGCAUUUGUGACUGUAGAGCUGGAGUACGGCAGAGGGGGAUGGAAUUCCGCGUGUAGCAGUGAAAUGCGUGGGUAUGCGGAGGAACACCGAUGGCGAAGGCAAUCCCCUGGGCCUGUACUGACGCUCAUGCACGAAAGCGUGGGGAGCAAACAGGAUUAGAUACCCCGGUAGUCCCUGUCUCUUAUAC
rnacentral:rRNA from 1 species